rnacentral:lncRNA from 1 species
UAAGAAAUUUCAAACAUCAGCCAUGGAGAUUGAACAAGUUGUUCAUAAUUAGAUUGAAAGCAAUCAUUAUGCAUGAACUAGUAGUUACUAUACAAUAUUAGCUUCAAGUAAAUAAUGCUGGGAGAACUGAUUGUUAAGAUUGCCUUGUUUGAAGCAGCAGCAUGUAUAUAUAUAUGCUUGCUUACAAGGUUUGUCUCUCAGAGUCCUUCUCUUUGUACUCUUUUCAGCUUAAUAUAUAAACUGUCUACUUAUUUACUUCUUUUAUUGCCAUUGAUUCUAGUAGUAUUAGACUCAUUAACUUGGAUACAUUGUCUUGUAAGAGAUAGCUUAUCUCUUAACAACUGUUUGGGUCAACAAAAUUAAUGUAUAUAUGAAAACGAAUAUUGAAUUUGGAUGUCCAAUCAAUUUUUUUAAUUAAUUAAUUAAAAAGAAUUGUUUUAAUUCAAAAAAUCUAAAAGAAUUUGAUAAAAAAUGUGGAAGGGCACACUUGUAUGAUGAAUAGUAGUGAUAAUAAUGAUAGAAGUCGUUUUCCUAGCACAAGUAUGGGAUUCGUCCAUUUGGUUUUAUAUUUAUCCACUUGCCUGAGUGUUUAAGAGUUAAAAAGGACAAAACUAUUAAGUAGAAAACACCAAACGAAUUGGAAGGCUUUUGUCUUCUUCAAUUAGUAUGACCUAUAUUUCUUAUUAAACUUCGUAUUUUACAUUCAAUAUCAUCAUCGCAAUCAUUUUAAUUUAUUUUCAUGAAUAAACUUUUAUGUCCCAUUUUAAUUGAAUCAUUAAAAAUUAUUAAUUGAAUUUUUUUUAAGUCAAGUGAUACUAAUUUGAUUUUUUUAAAAAAGUUGUUUGAAUUAAUUUGAUUUCGUGUCAUAAUUGACAUAAAUGGCCAUUGUGAAUGGCAACAUCAAUAGUUAUUGAGUACAGCGGCUAAAAUUUUCAGUUAAAAAAAAAAGAAUGAAAGGAAAACAAAAAGAAAAACGUGGAAAGAAAGAAAGAAAGAAAGAAUAAUAAUAAUAAUAAUAAUAAUAAAUAAAAUAGAAUUGUGGGGGCGAUGCUUUUGAACAAAUCUUGAUUUAAACUAUAUAAAGAAAAUAUGUGUUAUAUAUAUAAUUAAUUAUGUACUUAUACUUAAUAUAUUAUAUAUCUAAUGUCAUAUUUUCAUAUUCUCAGGAAGUGGUGACAUACAAAUACUUGAUUCGAUUUAUUUCUUUAGCUCCCCGUGAAUUGUAUGUUUGUAACAUUAGGGAUAGAAUUUCUUCAAUUAUCCAAUUGACUGGACGUAUUGUGUCGAUUUUUUUUUAGUAAUAUACCUAGAAAUACCCGUUGAUUCUUUAUAAACGCUGUUUCGAACACAACUGGUACACUCUAAAAUAAUUUACUUGAACAUCAUUACUCUUAGCCAUGAACCUCCUUUGAGUUUUUAAUUCACCCAACUUUUUUAUUUUCCGAUCAAAAGCAAAGAAGAAAGGAAUGAAAAGAAAAGAAAGAAAUCAAAGUUGCUAACUCAAAACCAAAUCCUGAAAAUUUUCAUUUCAAUGAAUAUAGUAAGUAAAUAUAGAUUUAUAGUAAUAGCAAAUAAUAAGAAUUAAGUAAUAUAACGAUUUUUAAUUCUAUUUAGAAUCAAUUAAAAUAUUCAAAUAAAUAUUCAAUUAAAAUAAAUUAAACUGUAUAAAUUUUAUAAUUUUAAAUUAUUAUUUUUGUAUUAAUUUAAAAACAAAAUAAAUAUUAUAUACAAUGAUUUAGUUACAGCGUGUCAGCUUGAAGUCUAAGACUUUAUAACAUAUAAAUUUAAUAGAUAAUUAAUAACUAAAAAAUUAAAUAGCAAAAGCAUAAUUGCGCCACUUCUCACCAUUUUAAUGUAUGCAACUUAUUAUAUAUUUAUAUAUAUUAUCAUUUUAUUUUAAAUAAUUUAAUUUUAUAAAUUUAGGGAUAAAUCUCAAAAUUAUACAUGAACUUUAAUUUAAUAUGCAAUUGUAUAUAUAAACUUUAAUUUGGUACAAUUAUACACGUGAUACUUUAAUUGUGGUUUAAAUACUCACUUGAAACUUUAGUUUUGAUUUAAUAAUGCAUAUUUAAAUAAAUAAAUACAUCAAUUUUUUUAUAUUGGGUAAAUAUAAUUAUUUAUGUAUGCAAUAUAUAACAUAAAAUGAUGUUAUAUCAAUAAUUGUGUUAAUAAUUUUCAAGAAUUGGAUCAAAUCAAAAUUUCAUGUAUAAAAUUGAACAAAAUCAAAGUUAAUGUAUACAAUUGCACAUUAAACCAUAAUUCAUGUAUAUUUUUUUGUAUAUAUCCCAUAAAUUUAUUUCAUUAACUUUUUACCUAUAUCAUAUAUAGAGUUGUUCGUGAACCGAGCCAAGGAAUGCCUGCUCGAAAAAAUGAGAGGGUUUGGCAAAAAAAUAUAUGCCUAAAAAAUGGGCUUGGAUAAAAAGACAAGGCCCGUUUAGAAAAUGAACCGGCAUUGAGUAGGGUUUUUUUGUCCGGGCUCAGCCUAACCCGAAUUUUCAAUUAAAAAAAACCUUGUUGUUUUUGCUGCUAUUUUUCCAUAUCUUGGUGUUGUUUUCUCACUUUUUGCCGCUAUUUUACUACCAUUUCACUAUUAUGUUACUACUAUUUUUUUUAAUGUUUGGAUAUAGUAUAAUAAUUGUUUUAUUGUUAAUUUUAUCACUAUUUUAGAGACAUUUGUUUGUUAUGUUGUACUUAUUUUAGUUUUUAUUUAAGUAUAAAAAAAUUUAAAAUUUAUUUUCAAUUUAUUGAUAAACAUGUAAUUUAAUAUUUUCAGUGUAUUUAUUGUAUUAUAUUUGUUAAAUUUAUAUAAAAUUAAAAUUAAAAAAAUAUGGACCGAGAUGGGAGUUUAACAAAAAUUUAGGCCCAUUUUUCAAGUCGGGCCGAUCUCAAACCUAACAAUCGGACUUAAAAUUUUGUUAGAGCUCGGCCCAUCCCAUGAACAACUCUAAUUAUAUAUAUAUGUCAUUCUCUAAUAAUAAUAAUAAUAAUAAUAAUAAUAAGUGGAUAACAUAAAACUAGUAGUAAAGAGUAAGAAGACAAAGAAGAAUUAAGUGGAUAACAUAAAACGUGCGAAAACAUUUAUCUUCAAUUCUGACACAUAAAGCUAGUAUUUUUGGGUAAAGUAUAGAAAUGGUGAUUAAAUUAUUGUUGAUGUUCUAUUUUAAUUUUUAAUUUUUCUAUUUUAGUUAUUAAAUUAUUUGAAAUUAAAUUUUUUGGUUAUCAAAGGUUAACAGUAGUUUGAAAUUUAACAGAAAUAUUGAUGUGAACUUUUCUUAUUGAUUUAAUAAUAAAUUUAGCCUUCUAAUAUUUAUAUAUUCUAUUAAUUUGAUACUAAAUAUAAAAAUUUAACAAAUUUAACCUUCAAUAUUUACAAAUUUUGUUAUUUUAAUUCAAAUUCUAAAAAAAAUUUAAUAAAUUUAACCCUCAACAUUAAAAAAUUUGAUAAAUUUCAAUUUUUAAAAUUUUGUAAAUUCCUAAAAUAUAAAGCAUCAUUCUCCACCUCAUAGGAUUCCAUGUAAAUGGAUUUUCUUGAAUUCUUUACCAAGUUGUCUUGAGUUUAAUUUCUUCUUAUUUAGUUUGUGGAAUAAAUGGCAUAUAGUUAGAUGUCACUGCAGCUGACAAUGAAAGGUUUGACAAAGUUGAUAAAUUCAGAGCUUUUGAUGCUGAGCUUCAAAUCAGUCUUGCCUCCACUCACCCAAGAAAUCAACUUUACAAUUUUUAUUAAGUCUUAACUAGAUUAAUAUGAGUAUUGUUAUCAAUAUAGGAGAAAGUGAAUUUUAGUGCGUUGAAACACAUUAUCUUCUUAUUGAUGAAUUGAGGAGGGGCUAUGAAUAGUUUUAAAUAUUAUAUUAAAAAAGCAGAGAUAAUUGAAACCUACAAUAAUAUUGUUCAAAAAAAUUACCUAAAAACACGAAAUCUUACUCCCUGAAUUUUCUAGAAACACAAAUAUUUCUCCCUGCCUUUGAUGGUGUAUACAUGCAUGGCCAUGUGUGAGCUCCUGCAUUUUAACUAAUCAACACAGAUAAUACCCUCAAUGAGACAUUAAAAUUAACUUUUAUUUUUGUUUUUUCAUAAAUUUUAUAAUUUUGUAUUUCAAUGAAAAAAUCUAAAUCUAAGUUGAUCCGAGUCCAAAAAAAAAUCUGAAGCUGUAAAAAGUUUGAUCUGAGGCUGCUCAUUUGCCACCUCUAAUAACCAUUUGAUAGAGGUUUAAUAUAAAGGAAUUUAGAUUUUAGGAAUUUAUAAAAUUUUUAAAAUUAAUUUUUUAUUUGUAAAUACUAAGGGAUAAAUCUAUUGAAGUUUUUAAAAUUUGAACUGAAAUGUCAAAAUUUGUAAACAUUGAAGGCUAAAUUUGUUUAUUUUUUCUAUUUAAGACCAAUCUGAUAGAAUGUGUACACAUUAGAAGACUAAAUUUAUUAUUAGACCAAUAAAAAAAUGCCCAACUUAACGCUUUCUCAAAUUUCAAACCGAUGUUAAUAUUCAAUGACCAAAAUUUUUUAUUUCAAAUAGUUUAGUGACCAGAAUAGAAAAAAAAUUAAAAGUUUGAUGACCAAAAUAGAACGCGGAUAAUAAUUUAAUGAUAUUUUUAUACUUUAUCUGUUUUUUAUGAUUAUUUAUACAUAUCAAGUGGAGCUAAUUUAGGGAAAAGAAUCAAUGGUUAAGGUUGUUGUUGAUACUUAAUGAUCAGGGUCCAAAUUUUGCUAAUGUAAUUUUCCUUAUCAUAAUUUGUAUCUUAAUUUUGUUACCAAAAAAAUAUUAGUAAUAAAUAAUAUAUGCUCGAGAAAUGUACGUAUGAUUGAUUUAAACAAUACAUGUUGGAGUAAUUUACAUAUGGAUUUAAAAUAAAUUUUAAAAAUAAAAUAAAAUUUUAAAAAUCCAAAAGUAUUUUUUCUUUUAAAAAAAUUUAAAAAUAAUUUUUAAAUUAUUUACAUGAUUGAUUUAAAGGAUUUCUUUCUAUUAAUUAUUUUUAUAUUAAAUUUAUUUUCCUUUAUGUAUAACAUUUAAAGGGUUUGUAUAUAUGCUAACUCGCGAGUCAAUUAAAAUUUGUAUUAUAUUCAUUGAAUUUUUUUAAAAUAUAUAUUUUAUUAAUUUAUUUAUUUAUUUGAGACCCAUGAUAAACUUGUAUUUAAAGUUAUUGGUGCACACUAUAAAUUCAUAUAUUGAAAAUGAUAGGUGCUAAAAGUAACAUGUUUUAGUCUCAUUCUUAAUGUGUUUUUGGAUGAUUAUUCGAUAUAAAAUGGUUAAUUUUAUGCUACUAAACUUUUCAAUUUACGUUCUACACUUAAUAGAGCAUUUAGGAGCAAAAGAAGCGAAAAACGAGCGAAAAUAAAAAAAAUAGGAGCAAGUCUCAAAAGCCACACAGGCUGAGCCAUUCCACACGGGUUGGACACAUAACCGAGUGAGCCACACGACCAUGUGCUAGACUGUGUGGAAAUCGCAAAUUACACUCCAAACGGCGUGAAAACACGUUAAUUUUAAGGUUUUUUAAGCAUUUUAAUACCUAUACAUGACAAAGAUAAGAAGAGGGGAGAGAGUCGUCAGAAAAUAUUAAAGAAAACAACUUAAAAAACACCAUUGAAGCUAACUUUGAAGCAAAUUUUCAUCAAGAUUGAAGAUCUCAUUUUGAUUUUUUUGAAGUUUAUUAUGAGUUUCUUUAUUUAUUGUAGUUAUACUGUCUUUAGGAUGUUUUUAUUUGCUAUCAUGAACGAAUUUUCUAAAUACCUAGGGAGAUGAAUCCUAUCAUGAAUUAUGUUAUUUGAUUUCUAUUUUUACGUAAUAAAGACUUAGAUCUUAUUCUCAAUUAUGUGUGCUUAAUUCUUGGUUUAAUAUUUCUAGACUAUUAAUCAAUGUUUGAUGUGCUUAAAUCAGAGGAGGAAUAAACCCUAUUUAAGAGUAGAUCUAGCGUAAAUGAGUGGAGUUGCAUGCAAUCCUAGAAAUAGGACAACAUAAAUCUACCGUAAUAGAUCCAAAUCUAAUAGGGGAAUCUAUAGAUCGAGUUAAUACGAUGAUAGAGGUUUUAAUUAGAAAUAAAUUUCAGUUAAUUAACCUAGAGUCAGUUACUCUUAGUCUUGAAGAGAUAUAUUAGCAUAAUUUAGGGAUUUUUACAGAUCAAUAUUCUAAGUGACGAAGUUGUGUAAUAUAGAUUGAUAAUGACAUAUGAAGUCUAGGUAGAUUCUUUCCUAGGUAUUGUCUCGCUCUUGGUUAUUAUUUGAUUAUUUUCUUGAUUUGUGCUUUGUUGUGUUAUUUAGUUAACUAAUUUAGUUAAUUUUAGUUCCAACCAAUCACUCCAAUUUAUCAGUUAAAUAAUAGAAAAGACGGUAAUUACUGGUACUUUUAGUCUUUGUGAAAACGAUAUCUUUGCUCACUAUAACUAUACUAUUAAUUGAUGUGCACUUGUCUGAGUUAGAUUUUUAGUUGGUUUACGACUGCAAUCAAAAAACUCAUUAAGUUAGCACAAACUAAGUUAAUUAUUCGUUGGUUGCUUUAUUUUUUUUCCUGAAGUUUCGAUUUCAUCUUUCAUUAUGUACAACAAUUUUGGUAUAAAAAUAUCAAAUUCUCGACACUUAAUAUAUACCUUUGAAAUAUAAACACAUGCAUCAAUUUUUUUAGGUUCCUCACAACUUACUUGUCCAAAAUUCUUGUAUCUUUCAGUUCUCCUGAUUGAAUCAAAAUUUGACUUUGUAAUUAUUUUUUAAGGACCUCAAACUAUCAAUUUAUAGUAUAAAUUUUCAAUAGCUUUCAUUCUUUACAAAUUGGUCCCUAAUUAAUCAACAAUGGUAUUAAAGCUUAAGCUUAGGGUCCCGUUGUUUCACUGAAAAUGGCUUUCGAAAAAUAAUUUCUAGAAAAUGACUUACUUUCCUAGAAAAGUUAAUAUUUUCUGAUGUUUGGAUGAAUCAGUGUAAAAUAUUUUAUAUUGUUUGACAAAUUUCUUAAAAAUAUUUCAUAAAAGCUGUUUUCAAUGAAACAAACAUGCAUUUGAGAUUUUCUUAUCUUUUCAUUGUUUAAUUAAGUUUAUCUUAUAUCUAUAAAUUUAUAUUUUACAUUUUUUUGCAUAUAAUAAAAAUAUAUAUUUUUUAAUUCAGGUUCACUACCAUGUCACUUUUUAGUUACAUGACUACCAAGUGAGUAUUUUUUUUAUUUAAAAAUGUGACAUCAACAAAAUUGACAAAAAAAAAAUUUAGCAAUGUCAACAAUUGGACUUGAUUUUCAAAUCUGAAAAGUAGAGGGACUAAAUUCUUGAAAAUAAAAGUAUAGAGACUAAAUUGAAAAUUUGUGAAGAAUACAUAGACUUAUCACAUUUUUUAACUUUUAUACUACAAAAUAUUUAUCAUUAAUAUAUUUAUAAUUAUAAUAAAUAUUUAUUAUUAAAAUAUUAAUAUUAAAUAUUUUCAAUAAGAAGAAUAUUAUUUAAAAUUAUUUUUUUUAAUUUUUUAUUAAAAUAAAAUUGAAAUAUUAAAUAAUUUAUUAAAAUAAUUAAUUUUAUUAAUAAUUAAUUUUAUGACUAAAUAUAAAUAAUUAAAUAUGUGUGUUUAAUAAUAUUGAAAUAUAUAAUAUUUUAUAUUAAUAUUUUAAAUAUUUUUAAAAAUAAAAAUAAAAUUUAUUUUCAAUAUAAUAAUAUUAAUAUUGAUUUAAAUGAAUUUUUAUAUAAAAAUAAAAUUACCUAUAGAUGAGCUCUUUUCCAGAAAAUGACUUACACUUUUCAAAAGGAUAAGUCAUUUUAUAGGAAAAAGAGUUCAAUUUUACAUUGACCUGUAAGUCAUUUUCCGAUGACCAAAAUGUUUUCUGUAAAAUAAACAUAAGAAAAUGAAGAAAAUAUUUUCCGUAAAACCUUUUACAUGUAAACAAACGGACCCUUAAUUCAAGCUUGUUCUAACAUAACCCACUUCACUAUUAGCAUGACUCUUCCUUAUACUAUGUUUAACCAUUAACCCUUCUCAUGAUUUCUAACAAAAAUUCUCUAAGUUCUCUUUAAUGGAAACUUCUAUUAGCUUCAACAAUAAGAAAUUCUAACCAUUGGGUUGGUUGUAUCAAGUUUCAUAGUUUAAAAAACUAUAAAAAAAUUAUUUAGAAAACAAUUUGUUUACCUUUGAUGGCCUUGAUGGAGAACAACUUGGUUUCUUCUUCUACUUAGUUUAAAGAAUGCAUGAAGAAGAAGAAGAUUUCCCCUCUCCCUCUAUCUUAAAUAUAUAUAUAAAUAACCUAUUAAUCAAGGUAAUUAACUCACUAAUUAAUCUUAAUUAGUUAUGAUCUAAUGGCCAUAAACUUACCAUAAGAAAAUUAGUGGAAAUGUGUGGCAUUGAUAAUGGUUUGCCAAUAAUCAAACUUCGGGCAUGGUAAUAUUGCAAUCAGGUCCUUGGUUUAAUUACACUUUAAGUACUUGCUAAAUUCUCUAAUCAAUUCCCACUAGUUGGAUCACUUGAACAAUUGGGUCCAUGUAUUAUAGUUACAACUUAUCUAAUUUAAUCAAUUAAUGAUUUGACUUUAUAAUUUCAUGUGCAACACACAAACUCCUCCGGUAAAUUCUCAAGCUAGCUUUAUUUAAAAAUUUGGCCUCAAAACCAGCUUUCCAAAUGUUCAUGAAAAUUGAGUUGUUACAUUAUGGUAUUUGUUUUGUUCAGCUUAUUUGUCAAGCUCUAUUCCUUUGAACUUAUGUUCGUUGACUUUGGUGUUGCUUAAAUGAAAAUGUGGUGAACAAUAUUAUGGAUAGGAGGAGUGUAUGAUUGAGUAUGUGUAACACCCCUAACCCACAUCCUUCGCCAAAUUAAAGUGACAGAGUGUUAUUAUUCAAAACAGAACAUUCCAUGACAACACAUAAACAAUUAUGCAAAUUAUCACAAUCAUUAAUUAACCAUAUUAAAAUAUAACAUAAGUAUCCAUACGACCUUUAAAUCGAGCUUAUAUGGCCUUAAAAAUAGCUUGGGAUCAAUCUAGGAUCAAUUUGGAACAUAACAUAAAUUUUAAGAAAAAUCUAAAAAUUUUGGGAAACAUGGGUCACACAACCGUAUGUCCAGGCCGUGUGACAUAGCCCAGACCUUGUGGGAAUUCAAAAUCAGGACACUCAAUCAUGUCCUAGCCCGUAUGUCUACCUGUGUGAAUAUUUGAAAUAGGGUCCCACAGUCGUGUCGCGGCCAUGUGCUAAACCGUGUAUAUAUUCAAAUUAUGAACACAUGGCCGUGUCGCAAGCCAUGUGCUAGACCGUGCUCAAAACUAUUUUGAGACACACAGCUGUGCCUUAGGCUGUGUGAAAUUUUCACUUUAGACAACGACACACAGCCGUGUGCCAGACCAUGUACACCAAAAUGUACCUUAAAAAUCAAAUUUACCAAAACAUGUUUACUUAGGCAUCAAGCAACCUAAUUACCAUCAAUCAAACUCAUUCAAAACACAAUUAAACAGGUUCAAAACAUCCAUCCUAAGUGCCUAGCCAUUGUGCCCUCAUUGACAUCAUAAUUCAAUAAUCAAAUCAAUCACAUUUAAACCAAGAUUUAAACAUUCAAAUUAUAAAAUCAUCAUUAACCAUUCAUACCAAAACACUGAUCAUUUCAAGUCAUAAACACCUAGCAAUAUUCACAUACUUUAUAAAGCUUAACUACCAAUACCAAAUAAGAUCCAUACACACAUACAUACCAAACAAAACACAUAUUCACAAGUAUCAUUCAAGAUUUACAACUUUACAUGUAAUUAACAUAAUUUCAAGUCAAUUAUUACAUGUCAUACAACCCAAAACAAACACUAAACAAACUACCAAUAGUUUCUCGAAUAGUGUGAUUCUUGAAAUCAAAUUGAUCACCCGAAGCGUCAAAAAUAAAUCUACAAGAAAGCAUUGGAAGAGACACAAGAGUAAGCUUACUUAAGCUUAGUAAUUUCCAUGGAUUUAAACAAUCAACUUACCGGAUAAACUUAUCUAAUAUAGAGUAUAGAAAAGUCAUAAAUCAUAAUCAUGUCAUCCAUAAUCAGAUCACGAGUGAGUCUUAAACUUAAAUAUGAAUGAAUUAAUUCAAUCAAUUACAUUAUAUCACUAAAUUAUACCCGAUGAACGUUGCAAUGGAUUUGGAUACACAGUUAACCAACCAAACACUCCAAAUCACUCAAAUGAGCUAGCCAUCUGAAAGUACACAUGGGCACCAAGUGCCAAGCCCAUAGGCUAACAUCCCUCCGAAACACACCUUGUCACCAAGUGCCAAGCCCGUAAGCUUUACAUCUGCCCCAGAAACACACCUGAAGCACUGCAAUAUAACGUAAUAGUUCGCAACAAAUGUUGAACUUCAAUAUAUUCAAUAAACAUGAAUAAGAUCAGAAUCAUCAUCUCCACAUCCACCAAUCUCGUAAAGCGCACGAUAUAACUUAUUGACAUGCCAAUUGUAUCCUAUCAUACAUUCAUCGGCUCACAUAUUUGUCAUUUAACAACAUUUAAUACAAUUUCUUUCCCAAAUCAUUUCACUUACCACAAUUCAAUACUUCCAUGUCAUUUAAUAAUUUCAAUCCACAAGUAAUUAAAUAUUUAAAUUAUACUAAAAUUAAACUGUACAAACUCACUAGGGCCAAAUUGCAGAAACAACAAAAGUUCAGGGACUAAUCAACAACCUUCCCUUUUUCCACAAUUAUCAACUUGAUCUUGAUCUAUAAUAUAAUUUAUUUCAAUUAUUAGCCUCAAUUUUCAUAUUCUAAUCAUUUCAAAACAUAUGAUCUCUUAUUUAUAAAUUUACACAUUUAUCCCAAAUUUUUACAUAUUAUACAAUUUAAUCCCUAUGACCAAAUCAAGCUUAGUUCUACAAUUAAAUUCUCAAUCCAUAGAACUAAAUUUUAACCACAUCCAAAACAAUCCAUAUAUGCUAAAAUUUUCAAGAGUAACAUGUCUAUUUCAGUUAAAUCACUAAACAUCAAAUUUUGUAAAAAUCACUUACAAACUCAAUACAUAUGGUCACCAAGCUUCAACCCAAACUAUUUACUACUACAAAUCUUCGAAAAUUUCAAUACAUAAUUUCUAUACUUUGAUAACUUCACAAAUAAACUCCAAAACUAGCUAAAUUCCAUUAUCAAUAGCUCAAAACUUAAAAUUUGAUGAUGAAUAAACCAAGAAAAUACUUACAUGCAUUAAAAACUAACAAAAACCAAGAUCCAAGCCUUAGAACAAUGGUGUUUCGGCCAAACCUAAGAAAAAUAAAGAAGAUGACCACUACCCCACUUUUGUUUUACUUUCCUUUUAUUAUUAUAAUAAUCUUUAUUUAUGAAAUUAUAACAUUAUAAAACACCAAUUUAAUUUUUUUUCUCUCUUUACCGCCCAUAUUAACUAACUAUGGGCUAAUGGCAACAUAACCUCCCUUAGUUUACUAAUUUAAGCUAUUAUAUUAAAAUAAAUCUAUAAUAAGCAACUUUUCCACCUAUUACAUAUUAAUCUUUUUUCUUUAAUCAAUUCACUAUACGUUAAAUUUUCUAAACCAAAACUUAAUACGACACUGAUGACUUUGUAAAUAUUAAAUAAUUAAUAAUUCUAGACUGACACGUCGAAAGUGUAGUCCUAAAACUAUUAUUUUCGACACCACUGGAAAUCGAACUGUUAUAGUAUGAUUCUACCUCUUAGGGGGAGACGUAUUCUAGUUUCCUUUGACUUGUUUAGAUGAUGUGUUAAUCAUUUGCUACUGGUUUUGUCAAAAUGCCAAAUGGUGAGAUUGUUUCAAACUUUGUUCAUGUUCGAACAUUAGAUUAAACAAUGCUUAAUUUGAUGCAUUCAAAGAAUUUAUGUUGGCAUGUUUGACUUUAUAAUGAAAUGGCUUAUGAUUUAAUCUCGUUGAGUAGCAAAUGGGGAAGUGAUUUUGUGUUAUAACAUGUGAUGAUCAUUAUCUUUCAAUCAACUACCUUGAAGAAGAAUGGGAGGAGUUUGAACUUUUGUGGACUUUCGUAAUAUUUGAAGCUGCUAAGAUACUUGUUUAUAAAGACUUUUAUGAUAUAACUAAUCAAAAUAAUUCAUGUCAGAAUUUUUGGAGUUUUAAACUUAUGAAGACUCUAGUAUUGGCCUAUAAAUAGGCAUAAUUACCGCACAUUGAAAAUAGGCUUUUGGAGGGUUUAAGUUGGAUGCUUUGGUGAAUUUUUCCUGUGUUUUAUACAACACUCUUUUUUAAGUUUUUAUUGGGGGAUAUUUGCUUGAUUGUAAGUGAGAUAUUUUGGAGAGAGUGAUUUGUAAUAAUUUAGGUUCAAUAUUGAAGUUGCAAAUAACUACAAGGUAAUGGUAAUUUGGACUCUAGUCAAUAGUUAAUCAAGACGAAUUGUAAAUAAAAAUUAUUUUUUAAGUGAAACUUUACAGAAUAAAACUAGUGAACUCAAACUACGCUAACAAAUAUUAUAUACUAUCUUUCCUUACUUUACUCGUUGCUUUACCUUAUUUUAAAAUUGCUUUGUCAUAAAUGUAUUAUGUUUGACCCUUUCCGAUCGAAAUAAAAAAAUGAGAUUGAAAUUGUGAUAAAGCUAAAAAAAAGUUACAACAAAUAUGAUUAAUAUUAUUUUUAUAUAUACUUACUAAAAUUUAAAAAGGAAUUACAUUUAUCGAAUAUUAUUUUAUUUAAUAAAUAUAAUUAAUAUAUUUUAUAUAAAAUUUAAACUUUUUAUUAUUUGUUAGCUAAAUUUUAUUAUUUUUAUUUUCUUUAUGAAUAAAAUUAAUUUUCCUAAAAUUUGAGAUAAAAAAAUGUUAUAUAGAAAAUUAAAUUAGUAAAAAGUGCAGUUCAUACUUUAUAAUUAUUAUAAAUGAAAAAAUAUUAUAAAAGAUAAAUAUUAAACAUAAAAAAAUCAAUUCUAAAAUAAACUUAACUAUUAUAAUAAAAUAUUUUUAUAUAAAAAAGAAAUUAUAGAAAAGACUUACUGAUUAUAUUUCCAAUUUUCGACAUUCAUAAAAAAAAAGUGGUCCUAAUAAUUUAUUUAUACAAAAAAAAAAGUGGUCCUAUUAAUUAACCUCACAUUUGAAAUGUGUUAUAUGUAAUAAUAUUAAUAUCUUUAUCAAUUUUGGAGGUUCAUCCUUUCCCAUCUCUAUAAAUUCGCAUGGAGAAAUAAAGCAAUACAUCAACACAAUCUGUAUAACCAUGAAAACCACAACAGCUUCAGUGUUUCUUCUUUUCAUCAUCUUCUCAGUCACACCAUCAUCCUUUUUGUUUGGUGUAGCCAACGCUACAAACGAACCUGUACUCGACUUUGAUGGCAACGAGGUUCAAACAGGCACCCCAUAUUACGUUGUGUCGUACAUAUGGGGUGCUGGUGGUGGGGGGCUUGACCUAGGCAGGCCUAGUGGAAACCCAUGCCCGGAAGUCGUUGCUCAAAGAGGAUCCGGUGACAAUGGUAUUCCGGUGAUAUUUUCUAAUUCGGACUCCAACGAUGGCGUUGUUCGCCUAUCCUCUGACAUAAACAUAGAGUUCAUUUCCCUCAGACCCAAACUUUGCCGAACAACAACAGUGUGGAAGGUCGAUGAUUACGACCAUUCAGCCGGAAAAUGGUGGGUGAUAACCGAUGGGGUUAAAGGGAACCCAGGUGCCAACACUUUGACCAGUUGGUUUAGAAUAGAGAAGGUGGGUACUGAUUUUCAAUAUUACACAUUUAAGUACUGCCCCGCAGUAUGUGGAACAUGCCCAGCCUUAUGCAACCAAAUUGUGAGAGACUUUGAUGGAGAAAUGGUACGUUUGGCUCUCACCACUGGCCAUGGAUGGCCAUUUAUCUUUAAGAAAGUUGGAAAAUCAGCCAUGGAGAUUGAACAAGUUGUUCAUAAUUAGAUUGAAAGCAAUCAUUAUGCAUGAACUAGUAGUUACUACAUAAUAUUAGCUUCAAGUAAAUAAUGCUGAGGGAACUUAUUGUUAAGAUUGCCUUGUUUGAAGCGGCAGCAUGUAUAUAUAUAUGCUUGCUUACAAGGUUUGUCUCUCAGAGUCCUCCUCUUUGUACUCUUUUCAGCUUAAUGAAUAAACUGUUUACUUAUUUACUUCUUUUGUUGCCAUUGAUUCUAGUAGCAUUCGACUCAUUAACUUGGAUACAUUACCUUGUAAUUAACCAAAAAGUUAUGUGUAUAUAUAUAAAGAGUGUGUGAGAGAAAAAAUAGAAUACCAAGUACCAAGUGAAAAAUGUUAAUACUAGGAUUAUUCAAAGCGAUUUCAAUGAACAGAAAUGGAAUAGUCGUCGGGUGGUUAGGGCAUUUUAUCUUUAGAGAUAAAGAAGGUUGGUUCAUGUUCGGAGUUUGUGGCUACUCCUUCAAUAAUAUCGUUUUUAAAGUUUAAACUUGUAUCACAUUUUAAACACGUAAUGUAUCUUACCAUUACAUCCAACAAUAUUAACCAUUUACUCUAUUGUAUUGUAUUGUAUUCUAUUAUUAAUUAAUGAUUAUGAUAUGUAUUAAGUUUAAGAUGAAUUUUCUCAGUAAUAUAUAUCAAUGGAAUCAAAUAUUUGUAUUUAAAGUUUUAACUCCACAUUAACUUUUUCUUUAUUUUGUCCGUUUGCUGGCGAUGAUUAGGAGAUUAAUGGUUGGUAUUUGUGGUUAGUAGGUUAUAACUCAAUAGUGAACUCGAGGGUUGAUAGUGGCCCGACUCCACUUAAAUAAAAAAUUUUACAUUUAAAUCUCUUUAUAAUUUAUAAAAUUUUAAAUUAAUAAUAAAAAAAUUAUAUUUUAACUCUCUAAAAUUAAUAAAAAUGAUAAAAAUGUAGAAGUAAAUUUAUACAAUUAAUGAUAAUAAUGAUAAGAAGUUGUUUCCUGUCACAUGGAAAUUUAUGGCAUCGUCCAUUUGGUUUUAUAUUUGUCCAUUUGCUUGGUUAAGAGUUGAAAGACAAACUAUAAUUAAGUAUACAAAACCAAACGAAUUUCAAGGGUUUUCUCUUCAAUUAUUGUCGAAUUUAGCUAAUUAUUAGUAAUUUUUAUUAUUUAAUUAUAAAAAUUAUAAAAUAAUGACUUAAUUAUAAGAAUUAUAAAAUAGUGACUUAAUUAUAAAAAUAUAUAUAAAUAGCCAUCUAAUUAUUUAAUUUUUUUUCUUUUUUAUCAUCACCGGAUUAAUGGUGGUAAUUUUUAUAAUUGACAUAAUAGUAACUUUAACCAUUAAUAAUUAUACAUUAUGUCAAUUUAGUCUUGAUUCUAAAAAAUUUAACCUUUGACAUUUACACAUAUAUAAUUUGACAUUUUUAUAAUUUUAUUUUUUACUAAAAAUAAAUCAUGAAAAUAAUAAAAUAUGCAUAAAAAUAAAAAUACAGCUACCGAGUAUAUGUCUUAAUGUAGAUUUAUAACAAUUAUCUUUUCAUAAAGAUAUUUUAUUAUAAAAUAUAUAAUAAGCACUUCCCUGUAACAAAUAAAAUUGUAGUAAACAAAUGAAAUUAUUAUAAAGAAGAAUUUUCUAUUUUCAUAAUAAUAAUAAUAAUAAUAAUAAUAAAAGAAAAGAAAAAAGUGGUUCUAUUAAUUCACCUCACAUUUGAAAUGUGUUAUAUGUAAUAAUAUUAAUGUCUUUAUCAAUUUUGGUGGUUCAUCCUUUCCCAUCUCUAUAAACACUACACCAGAAUAGGUUUUUAGCGGCGUUUUUUAGGCCUUUAGCGACGCUUAUUAACGCCACUAAAUCUAUUUCCGGCACUUACAAAAAAAAGCCGCUAAAGAUCAUGUUCUUUAGCGGCGCUUAGGAAAAAACGCCGCAAAAAAUCAUGUUCUUUAGCGGCGCUUAGAAAAAAACGCCGCUAAAGAUCAUGUUCUUUAACGGCGCUUAGAAAAAAACGCCGCUAAAGAUCAUGUUCUUUAGCGGCGCUUUGGAAGAAAACACCUCUAAAAGUAAUGUUCUAUAGCGGCGCUUGUUCAAAAACGCCGCUAAAAGUAGUGUUCUUUAGCGUCGCUUGUUUCACAAACGCCACUGUUUUGAUAUGACUUUUAGCGGCGCUUUUUUAAAAAAUGUCACUAAUUUUGGGAUUUUUUUAAAAUAAAAUUUUCUGUUUUUUUCAGCCCUCCUGCAACAACAAAUCAAAAGCAACCAGAUCUAAACUAACCAAAAAUAAUAAAUUUAUAUAAUAUUUCAAAUUAAAUGAAUAAAAUAAUAUUAAUUGAUAUAAAUAAAAGUGAAUUUCAGACUUUUCUUUACAAAAACGUUAAAAGUAUUUAUGCAACAUACACUAUGACGGCGGAAGUUGCGACUGCUGAAACAUCUUCAUCAUAAUCUAAAGCUGCUGUUGAAGUUCGUCGUACUUUUUGCUCUACUUUGCUUCUCUCGAUGCCGCAUCUUUUUGAAGCCGUAGCUGUAGUUCUUCACAUUUCUUUUGAACCUCUGCUUCUAUCGCUGCUUAUCUCGCUACGGCAUCUGCUUCCCUCACUGCUGCCUCUGAUUUAAGUUGUUGCUGAAGUUCUUCAUAUUUCCUUUGAACCUCAAAUGUGGUCGCUUGCAUCUGAGUCAUCUAGUCUUUUAACCUCUGAACUUCAGCUUGAGACUGACUCCCCGAAGCCAUGUAUUGGUGCGAGCUGGAUCCAAAAUAUUGGGUUGGGCUGAUAAAAGAUCCUUGAAAUCGAACCCGACCAUACUUUUCAGGACCCAAAACUUUAGUAAUAAUCCGGUUAUCAAUGUCUUCAAGAUGAAUAGAACUAUCACUAGAAGCAAUCGUUUCGUACUCUGUCUUUUUUUCCUUCAGUUUUUCCUAAUAAAUAAAUCACAUAGUUAGGAACGCAAUAUAUAGUAAAAAAAACAAAUGCAAUAUAACAAUAGUCGCAUUACAAGCAAUGAAUUAAACCAUUAGAAAAUAAACACUAUAAAUAACUAAAACAAGUGAAAUCGUAUUAAGUAAACGUACCAUAAUUUCACCAGCUUCAGGAGUCAUAGCAGAUCCAUCUUUCUUCUUAUGUGUAAUUUCAAAAAGUUGAAGGCGUCCAACUUUUUGAUCGGACGACCGUUCCUACAACACUCUUUUUUAAGUUUUUAUUGGGGGAUAUUUGCUUGAUGUAAGUGAGAUAUUUUGGAGAGAGUGAUUUGUAAUAAUUUAGGUUCAAUAUUGAAGUUGCAAAUAACUAUAAGGUAAUGGUAAUUUAGACUUUAGUCAAUAGUUAAUCAAGACGAAUUGUAAAUAAAAAUUAUUUUUUAAGCGAAACUCUACAGAAUAAAACUAGUGAACUCAAACUACUGAACUCAAACUACGCUAACAAAUAUUACAUAUUAUCUUUCCUUACUUUACUUGUUGCUUUACCUUAUUUUAAAAUUGUUUUGUCAUAAAUGUAUUAUGUUUGAACCUUUCCGAUCGAAAUAAAAAAAAUGAGAUUGAAAUUGUGAUAAAGCUAAAAAAAGGUUACAACAAAUAUGAUUAAUAUUAUUUUUAUAUAUACUUAAUAAAAGUUAAAAAGGGAAUUACAUUUAUUGAAUAUUAUUUUAUUUAAUAAAAUAUAAUUACUAUAUUUUAUAUAAAAUUUAAAUAUUUUAUUGUUUGUUAGUUAAAUUUUAUUUUUUUUUAUUUUCUUUAUGAAUAAAAUUAAUUUUCCUAAAAUUUGAGAUAAAAAAUGUUAUAUAGAAAAUUAAAUUAGUAAAAAGUUAAAAAAAUCAAUUCUAAAAUAAACUUAACUAUUAUAAUAAAAUAUUUUUAUAUAAAAAAAAAGAAAUUAUAGAAAAGACUUAUUGAAUAUAUUUCCUAUUUUCGACAUUCAUAAAAAAAAAAAAGUGGUCCUAAUAAUUUUUUUAUACAAAACAAAAAAAAGUGGUCCUAUUAAUUUACCUCACAUUUGAAAUGUGUUAUAUGUAAUAAUAUUAAUAUCUUUAUCAAUUUUGGAGGUUCAUCCUUUCCCAUCUCUAUAAAUUUGCAUGCAGAACUAAAGCAACACAUAUCAACACAAUCUGUAUAACCAUGAAAACCACAACAGCUUCGGUGUUUCUUCUUUUCAUCAUCUUCUCAAUCACACCAUUGUCCUUUUCGUUUGGUGUGGCCAACACUUCAAACGCUCCUGUGCUCGACAGUGAUGGCAACGAGCUCCGCACAGGCACCCCAUACUUCGUUGUGUCGUCGAUAUGGGGUGCUGGUGGUGGGGGGCUUGCCCUAGGCAUGCCUAGAGGAAAGCCAUGCCCGGAAGUCGUUGCUCAAAGAGGAUCUGGUGACGAUGGUAUUCCGGUGAUAUUUUCUAAUUCGGACUCCAACGAUGGCGUUGUUCGCCUAUCCUCUGACAUAAACAUAGAGUUCAUUCCCCUCAGACCCAGAUUUUGCCAAACAACAACGGUGUGGAAGGUCGAUGAUUACGACCACUCAGCCGGAAAAUGGUGGGUGAUAACCGAUGGGGUUAAAGGGAACCCAGGUGCCAACACUUUGACCAGUUGGUUUAGAAUAGAGAAGGCGAGUCAUCUUGAUUACACAUUUAAGUACUGCCCCGCAGUAUGUGGAACAUGCCCGGCUUUAUGCAACAAAAUUGCGAGAGACUUAGAUGGAGAAAUGAUGCGUUUGGCUCUCUCCACUGACCAUGGAUGGCCAUUUUUCUUUAAGAAACUUCAAACAUCAGCCAUGGAGAUUGAACAAGUUGUUCAUAAUUAGAUUGAAAGCAAUCAUUAUGCAUGAACUAGUAGUUACUAUACAAUAUUAGCUUCAAGUAAAUAAUGCUGAGAGAACUGAUUGUUAAGAUUGCCUUGUUUGAAGCAGAAGCAUGCAUAUAUAUAUGCUUGCCUACAAGGUUUGUCUCUCAGAAUCCUCUUUGUACUCUUUUCAGCUUAAUAUAUAAACUGUCUACUUAUUUACUUCUUUUAUUAAUGUCAUUGAUUCUAGUAGUAUUAGACUCAUUAACUUGGAUACAUUGUCUUGUAAUUAACCCAAAAAUUAUAUAUAUAUCAAAAAAAAAAAUGAGAGUGAGAGAGGAAAAUAGACUACCAAGUAACAAGUGAAAAAUGGUAAUACUAGGGUUAUUUAGAGUGGUUUCAAUGCACAACCGGAAUGAAUUGUUACCUUAUCUUUAGAGUCAAAGAAGGGUUCGUGACUAGUCUUUCAACAAUACUAUUUUCAAGGUUCAAACCUGCAUUAUCCUUUAAAUACGUAAUGUAUUUUAUCAUUACGCUCAAUAUUAUUAGUGAUUUACUUUAUUCUAUUCUUAAUUAAUAAUUAUGAUAUAUAUAAAGUUUAAGAUGGAUUUUCUUAUUUAUGUAUAUCAAUUAAAUCAAAUAUUUGUAUUUAAAGUUUUAACCCAACAUUAACUUUUUUUUUAAAAAUUUCUUCGUUUGUUGGUGGUGAUUAGGAGAUUGAUGGCCGGUCUUUGUGAUUGGUAGCUUUUAACACAAUGGCGAAGCUAAGGAGGCUUUAAAUGUUUAAAUGAAUAUUUUUUUCAAUUGAAAUUUCUUUAUAAUUUAUAAAAUUUUAAAUUAAUAAUGAUAAAAUUACAUUUUAAUUUUUUAAAAAUGAUAAAAACGUGGAAGCACAUUUGUACGAUUAAUAAUAAUGAUAAUAUUUUUCCUACCACAUGGAAGUUUAUGGAAACACCAUUGGGUUUUGUAUUUAUGUUUUAUUCGACACUCUUAUAAGUUUUACUGGGGAGAUUUGUUUGAUUGUAAGUGAGGUAUUUUGCGGAGAGUGAUUUAUAAUAAUUUAAAAUUAAUAUUGGGGUUACAAAUAACUAUGGGAGUAAAGUAGUUUAGACUUUAGCUAAUAAUUGAUCAAGAUGGAUUGUAGAAUAAAAUCAUUUUCGAAGCAAAAUUUUAUAAAAUUAGUAAAUCUGAAUUAUUCUAUAAUAUUGAUAUUAUCUUUCUUCACUUUAGCCCUUGCUUCACCUUAUCUCAAAAUUAUUCUAUAAUAAUCUAUUUUGUCUCAACCUUUUCAACAGAAUUUAAAAUGAAACUAUUUCUAUGAAGUGCAAACCAAAAACUUUUUCACAUACCAAUAAAUGGCAAGCAACCAUACCGUGGGCCCAAUGUCCCAACAAUCAUCUAAACAUUUUUUUUUUCUUUUUUAAAUAAUAUGUAAUAAUUUAUAUACCAUAAAUGAAUAUUAAUUAAAAUAAUAUAAACAAAAUACGACUCUUUAAUAUAAUAUGGAUCCAAAAUGUUUCAUAUUUGAAAUGCAGUUUUUGAUAAUUUCACAUUUCAUAUUUUAUCUUAGAACAAAAAGAAAAUUUGAACUUAAUAUUUGGACUAUUGAUCAAUGGUGUUUAUUAUAUUUCAAGACUAUCAGAUUAAUCUGUCGAUACUACUUAUAUGGUAUGGUUUAAAUGGGUGUGUGUGGAUAUAGAAAUUUGAAAUUCUAUUGUAUCAAAGAAAUUUUUUUUAAAAAUAAAAUAAAAAGGAAUUUGAAAUUUAAAAUUUGAGAUCAAAAUAAAAAAAAUGAGACUUGUUAUAAACCAUAAGGCUCAAAAAAGGUUACAACAAAUAUGGUUAAUAUUAUUUUUAUAUAUACUUAAUAAAAGUUUAAAAUAUCAAAUUUGUAAUAUUAUUUUUAUUUAAUAAAAUAUAAUUAAUAUAUUUUAUAUAAAAUUUAAAUAUUUUAUUGAAAUAUUAUGUUAGGUAAAUUUUAUUAAUUUUAUUUUCUUUAUAAAUAAAAUUAAUUUUAUUAAAAUUUGAGAUAAGAUAAUUAAAUUAAUAAAAGGUAUACUUCAUAUUUUAUAGUUAUUAUAAAUAAAAAAUUAUUAUAAAAAUUAAAAAAAAAGAAUUCUACAACAUAAUGAAAUAUUUUUAUUAAAAAAAACAGAAAUGAUUGAUGGAAUAUAUUUCCAAUUUUCGACGUUCAUUAAAAAAAAAAGAGUGGUCCUAAUAAUUGAUUUAUUGGGGAAAAAAAAGUGGUCCUACUAAUUUACCUCACAUUUGAAAUGUGUUAUAUGUAAUAAUAUUAAUAUCUUUAUCAAUUUUGGAGGUUCAUCCUUUCCCAUCUCUAUAAAUUCGCAUCGAGAAAUAAAGCAAUACAUCAACGCAAUCUGUAUAACCAUGAAAACCACAACAGCUUCAGUGUUUCUUCUUUUCAUCAUCUUCUCAGUCACACCAUCAUCUUUUUUGUUUGGUGUAGCCAACGCUACAAACGAACCUGUACUCGACAUUGAUGGCAACGAGGUUCAAACAGGCACCCCAUAUUACGUUGUGUCGUCCAUAUGGGGUGCUGGUGGUGGGGGGCUUGCCCUAGGCAGGCCUAGCGGAAACCCAUGCCCGGAAGUCGUUGCUCAAAGACGAUCCGGUGACGAUGGUAUUCCGGUGAUAUUUUCUAAUUCGGACUCCAACGAUGGCGUUGUUCGCCUAUCCUCUGACAUAAACAUAGAGUUCAUUCCCCUCAGACCCAAACUUUGCCGAACAACAACGGUGUGGAAGGUCGAUGAUUACGACCAUUCAGCCGGAAAAUGGUGGGUGAUAACGGAUGGGGUUAAAGGGAACCCGGGUGCCAACACUUUGACCAGUUGGUUUAGGAUAGAGAAGGCGGGUGAUCUUGAUUACACAUUUAAGUACUGCCCUGCAGUAUGUGGAACAUGCCCAGCUUUAUGCAACAAAAUUACGAGAGACUCAGAUGGAGAAAUGGUACGUUUGGCUCUCUCCACUGGCAAUGGAUGGCCAUUUUACUUUAAGAAAGUUGGAAAAUCAGCCAUGGAGAUUCAACAAGUUGCUCGUAAUUAGAUUGAAAGCAAUCAUUAUGCAUGAACUAGUAGUUACUACAUAAUAUUAGCUUCAAGUAAAUAAUGCUGAGAGAACUUAUUGUUAAGAUUGCCUUGUUUGAAGCGGCAGCAUGUAUAUAUAUAUAUGCUUGCUUACAAGGUUAAUUUGUCUCUCAGAGUCCUCUUUGUACUCUUUUCAGCUUAAUGAAUAAACUGUUUACUUAUUUACUUCUUUUGUUGCCAUUGAUUCUAGUAGCAUUCGACUCAUUAACUUGGAUACAUUACCUUGUAAUUAACCAAAAAGUUAUGUAUAUAUAUAUAUAUAUCAAAACAAAACAAAAAAGAGAGUGAGAGAGGAAAAUAGACUACCAAGUACCAAGUGAAAAAUGGUAAUACUAAAUUUCCAGAUAUAUGGCAUUGUUUGUGUGUGACAAACACCAAGUAUAAAUAGGUGGAAGUAUGACUACUUAUCAAGAGUGGUAUGGUUCAAAAACUACCCCUAUCGAAUUAUUUCAUCCUACUCAUUCGUUAUCGAUAGGAAGAAGGAUACUUCCAACAAGAAAUAUUUUGAAGGGUUAGUGUUGAGUUAGCUAAAAAUCAAAGUUUAUCAGAAGCUCGAUCUAAAAUUCGCCAAAAGGAGGAUUAUUCAAAGCGAUUUCAAUAGACAACGGGAAUGGAAUAGUCUUUGAGUGGUUAGGGCACCUUAUCUUUUGAGAUAAAGAAGGGUUGGUCCAUGUUUGCAGUUCGUGACUAAUCCUUACAACAAUGUCGUUUUCAAGGAUUGAACAUGUGUCAUCCUUUGAACAUGUAAUGUGUCUUACAAUUACACCUAACAUUGUUGGUGAUUUACUUUAUUAUAUUCUUAAUUAAUAAUUAUGAUAUAUAGUAUGUUUAAGAUGCAUUUUCUUAUUCAUGUAUAUCAAUUGAAUCAAAUAUUUGUAUUUAAAAUUUUAACUCGACAUAUCGAAGGUCUGCUACUCUAGCACGUCUUUGGUCUGCUGCUCUAGCAUGUUUUGGUUUUUUUAGGGUUUUUUUGGCUUAUUUCUCUUUGUUCUAGCGAUGACAGUUCUUGGGAUAGAGUAUUUCUUUUCAAUCUGGUUGAUUUUGAUUCGUGGCAAUGGAGGAUGAAUUGGCAGAGUUAACAUUGGAAGAUGAGGAAUAGGAGAUUUUGCAAGUACAGAAGGAAACUGAUUCUGCGACAGUGGUUUAAGAUCUUUGUCUGGUUGGAUACUUUCUCACAACGAGUGUAAUCCACUUUAUGACAAUGAGAAGCGCGAUGGCAAAUCUAUGGCAUCCUCUUAGAGGAGUUCAGAUCUCUAAUUUGGGGGAUAAGAAAUUAUUUCAAUUUUUUCAUAAAAUGGAUAUUGAUAGGGUACUAAAUGGGGAUCCAUGGACUUUCAAUAAUCAUCUUUUGGUGAUUCAUUUUUUGGAGGAUGGUGAGGAUCCGAUGAAGGUACCGCUAAUCUAUACGACUUUUAAGGUGCAAGUGCAUGAUUUACCCCCAGGGUUUUUUACUGAAUCUAUAGCAAAGAAGUUAGGCAAUUUUAAGGGUAAGUUUUUUGGAUCAAUGGAAAAAGCUUGGGUAAGGGCCUCAGGAAUUUCUUACAUAUACGGGUUUAGAUGGAUGUUAGAUGCUAUUUGAAGCGAAAAAAGAAGAUUAUGUUUUCACUUGGCAAGUGUUCCUAUGUCAACUUGAUAUACGAAUGACUAACUCUAUUCUAUUUUGUCUAUGGUUGUUUGGUAGACAAUGACUCUUUCUGUCAAGUUAGAAUGGCUAAAGGCUUAGAAGUUGUAGAGAUGGGAUGGUAUCUGUCUCUAAAAGCCCAGUCUAGGAGAGCUACUACGAUGAACAGCGUGUGGCUGCGGGAGGAAGGUAAAGGUGAGAUAAAGGGAAAUACCAUAGGACAUUUUGAUUUAGGGUAGGGAUUGUGGAAGGAUGGAAGGAAAGAAUCUAGGAUGCCCAUAGAUCUGUGUUGGGGUUAAAUUUGGAGGGUGGUUUGAAGUUAGUGUCGGGUAUGCAAGGGAACUCUUCAACGAUACAAGAUCAUUCGAAUAUGGAUCACGACUCAGAGGAAUGCGCUAUAAAAGGUAAAGAUGGGAAAAAAAGACCCAAAAAGGAUAAUGGAAAUCAUAGUGUUUCGAUUGUGACAGAUUCACUUGUGAUUAGAGAUGAGAGAUUGUUGGGACGAACUCACUUUUUAUCGGCAGCUGCCAAGGGGCAAGAUGAUCAGUCACAAUAAAAAUAAUUAGUUGGAACAUCCGUUGAUUGGGGUGUCCACAGGCUAUAAGAAGGCUUUGACAUAUGUUGAAGGUGUAUAAUCCCCAAGUGGUCUUCUUUAUGGAGACAAAAAUUAGUAAUGUGCAAAUAGAGAAUGUGCAUAGAAGGUGUGGAUUUUUAAAUGGUAUUGAUGUUUCGGCCGAUGGUUCAAGAGGAGGUCAUUUUCUAGCUUGGAAGGAAAAUGUUAAAACGAAUCUAAUGAGUUAUUCUAGUAGUCAUGUAGAUGUUGUAUUUUAGAAGAUUGAUAAUGGAGGUUUGCUGGCUUUUAUGGGACAUCAAAUGCGUGUAGCAGAGACGAUUCAUGGAAUUUGUUAAGAAAUCUAGGACGCUCUCAAGCGUUCCCUUGGCUAGUGUGUGACAAUUUUAAUGAAAUUAUAUACUCUUUUGAAAAGGUUGGGGUGCCAAGAGAGGAGAAGAGAAUAGAGGUCUUUUGAGGAGUCUUAUAGGAAUGUUAGUUAAUGGACAUUGGAUACUUUAGGGCUAGGUUUACCUGGGAAAGGGGAAACUUACCGAAAACGAAUAUGAGAGAGCGACUGGAUAGAGGAGUGGCGAAUGCCGAAUGGAUGAACAUGUUUUCUAGUGCAGUGGUUUAGCAUUUACCACAUUCUUUUCCAGAUCAUUGUCCCCUUUUUAAUCAUACGGAGCAGGAGAGUAAUAGGUUGAGGCAGAAAAGGUUUCAGUCCGAGGCAUGGUGGGUGAUGUAAGAAUCUUUUGAGGAGGAGGUUAAACAAAUAUGUCAAUCUACUUCGGGUGAUAUGUUGGCUAAGCUAGAAGGUGUGAGGAAGGGCUUAGUGAGAUGGGCGGGUUUUGUUAGAAAUAAAAGAGAGGGCCUUAAAAGGAAUUUGACUAGAAAAUUGGAGGAGAUGAUGGGAAAGGAUAGAGAUGAUGAGAAUAUUGUUGAACUAUCUUAAAAUUCUCUUGUCAUAACUUGAAGUUUGUGUCAUUUAAUAUAAGAAUACAAUUAAUGCCUGCAAUAAUGUUGGCAGGUAUAAUUAUUGUUGUAUCAAACAAAACAAUCUCAUGUAUGACUUCAAAUAUAAAACAAAAUAAUAAUUAAUUCGAAUAAAGGUAAACCCUAAGAUACCAAUCACUCCAUUAAUAUUUCAUUUUUGAACAAAUAUAUUAAGUUGUAAAUGAUAUCUUGGUGUAGUAAUUAAACACCGACAAUAAGCGUCACAUGUUUAUUACAACAGUUGCAAAUGUAAUUUUGUUAAAUAUUAGCCUCCAUUUAGGCCAGUCAAUAUUAACAUAACUUAAGUUACAUACACACAACCCCAAAAUUAUAAAAGUCCUAUUGUUAAAUUGAUUUGGUUCCUUUGACAUAGGAAAGCCGAAUUGCAUAAACAAUCAAUGUAUCCCCUAUUUUAUUCAUGUUUAUCACAAUGUUUGAAGGAGUGCUCACUCUUUUAGGGCGUGUUUACCAUUGAGGUUGAAAAGUAUCAUUAAACCCAAACAAUUAUUUCAAACCAAACAUUAAUUUUAAACUAGGAUUUUAGGCCAACCCAAAACUUCUAGCUUUUACUUUUUGGAAAGGUGCUUUUCAAUUAAAAACCUUUUUAUUCCUCGUUAAACUUUCUACUUUAUAACAUAAUGUCUAAAAUGGAAAUUUUAUUUUUCUAAAAACACUUAUAGACAACAAUAAUAAUUACUAUUAAUUUUUUCAAAAUCACUUUUCUACGGCACUGUUAAACUUAAAUGAUAAUCUAGCCUUUUAACCACUCUUUUCUAACAGAGAGCUUAUCUCUUAGCAAUAGUUUGGGCAAACAAAAAUAAUGUAUAUAUGAAAACGAAUAUUGAAUUUGAAUGUACAAUCAAUUUUCUGAAUAAUUAAUUAAAAAGAAUGUUUGAAUUCAAAAAUUUUAAAAAUUUUGAUAAAAAAUGUGGAAGCGCAGACUUGUGUGAUGAAUAGUAAUGAUAAUAAUGAUAGAAGCUGUUUCCUGGCACGAGGAACUUAUGGAAUUCGUCCAUUUGGUUCUAUAUUAGCCCUGUUGCUUCCGUGUUUAAGAGUAAAACGACAAAAUAUUAAGUAGAAAACACCAAACGAAUUGAACUAUUUUCUUAAGAUGGUGUCGGUAAUGUAUCUGUGGAUACCCAUUUGAAUUUUUAAAAAACUGAAAAAAUUAAUUUAUUUUUUAGAUUGAAUCAGCAGCAGGAAAAUAAGAAAAAAUACAACUUUGAGUUUGAGUUUGGAACUCUGAGAUUUCGCUCGGUGAUCUGAAUGGUGAGGUGGUAUGUUUAAAUACGGAGAAUAAUAUAUAUUCGACUAGCAACAAUCUGAUGGAGUGAAAUAGGAACUGAAAAAAAGGGUAAUUUAAAGUUUUGGUCAUUGUUUUAAAAGAUUACCUUCAGUCAUUAUAUUUUUCAGUUUUGGAAUUCCAGUACUACUUAAAUUGUAAUUGUUAAAUCUAUUUACUAUAAUGAUAUAAAAUUUUUAUGAAUAUUAACACUAUUAUUUUUUUUAAAGCACUUAUUCAUGGCACAAGGAACUUAUGAUGAAUAGUAAUGAUAAUAAUGAUAGAAGUUGUUUUUCUGGCACAAGGAACUUAUGAUGAAUAGUAAUGAUAAUAAUGAUAGAAGUUGUUUUCCUGGCACAAGCAACUUAUGGGAUUCGUCCAUUUGGUUCUAUAUUUCUCCGCUUGCUUGAGCGUUUAAGAGUUAAAGGACAAAUUAUUAAGUAGAAAACACCAAACGAAUUGGAAGGCUUUUGUCUUCUUCAAUUGGUAUGACCUAUAUUUCUUAUUAAACUUCGUAUUUUACAUUCAAUAUCAUCAUCACAAUCAUUUUAAUUUAUUUUCAUGAAUAAACUUUUAUGUCUCAUUUUAAUUGAAUCAUUAAAAUUUAUUAAUUGAAUUUUUUUUUAAGAUGGUACCGUUAAUGUGUCAAGUGAUAUCAAUUUAAAUUUUUAAAAAAAGUUGUUUGAAUUAAUUUGAUUUCAUUCGGUAAUCCAAACAGUGAGAUAGUGUGUUUAACUACGGGGAAUAACAUAUAUCCAAAUGGUGACAAUCUGGUGGAGCGAAACAGAUAUCGAAGAAAGAGUAGUUUAAUGAAUUUGGAGUCGACUUCUGGAAAAUCUGAAUUAUAGAAGUGAACGAAGAGGAAAUCUCUUCUUUGGUGCCGUAAUCGACAUAAACGGCCAUUAUGAAUGGCAACAUCGAUAAUUAUUGAGUACAAUGAUUAAAAUUUUCAGUUAAAAAAAAGGAAUGGAAAGGAAAACAAAAAGAAAAACGUGGAAAGAAAGAAAGAAUAAUAAUAAUUAAUUAAUAAAUAAAAAGAGAAUUGUGGGGGCGAUGCUUUUGAACAAAUCUUGAUUUAAACUAUGUAAAGAAAAUAUGCGUUAUAUAUAUAAUUAAUUAUGCACUUAUACUUAAUAUAUUAUAUAUUUAAUGUCAUAUUUUCAUAUUCUCGGGAAGUGGUAAUAUACAAGUACUUGAUUUGAUUUAUUUCUUGAUCGCUUCGUGAAUUUUAUGUUUGUAACAAUAGGGACAGAAUUUCUUCAAUUCCAAUCGACUGGGCGUAUUGUGUCAAUUUUUUUUGAGUAAUAUACCUAGAAAUACCCGUUGAUUCCUUAUAAACGCCGUUUCAAACACAACUGGUACACCCCAAAAUAACCGUUACUCAGACAUCUUUACUAUUGACCAUGAACCUCCUUUGAGUUUUUAAUUCACCUAACUUUUCUAUUUUUCAAUCAAAAGCGAAGAAGAAAGGAAUGAAAAAAAGAAAGAAAUCAAAGUUGCUAACUCAAAACAAAUCCUGACAAUUUUGGUUGCAAUCAAUAUAGCAAGUCAAUAUAAAUUUAUAGUAAUAGCAAAUAAUAAGAAUAAGUAAUACAACGAUUUCUAACUCUAUUUAGAAUCAAAUCAGAGUAUGGUAUUUUCUUUAAUCAAUUAAUUGAAUUCAAAAUAUUCAAUUAAAAUAAAUUAAAUUGUAUAAAUUUUAUAAUUUUAAAUUAUUAUUUUUGUAUUAAUUUAAAACAAAAUAAAUAUUAUAUACAAUAAUUUAGUUGCAGCAUGUCAGCUUGAAGUCCAAGACCUUAUAACAUAUAAAUUUAAUAGAUAAUUAAUAACUAAAAAAUUAAAUAGCAAAAGCAUAAUUGCGCCACUUCUCACCAUUUUAGUGUAUGCAACUUAUUAUAUAUUUAUAUAUAUUAUCAUUUCAUUUUAAAUAAUUUAAUUUUUAUAUUAAUUUUUAUAAAUUUAGGGAUAAAUCUUAAAAUUAUACAUAAACUUUAAUUUAAUGUGUAAUUGCAUACAUAAACUUUAAUUUGGUACAAUUAUACACAUGAUACUCUAAUUGUGGUUCAAAUACAUACUUGAAACUUUAAUUUUGAUUUAAUCAUACACAUUUAAAUAAAUAAAUACAUCAAUUUAUUUUUAUAUUGGGUAAAUAUAUUUAUGUAUGCAAUAUAUAACAUAAAAUGAUGUUAUAUCAAUAAUUGUGUUAAUAAUUUUCAAGAAUUGGAUCAAAUCAAAAUUUCAUGUAUAAAAUUGCACAAAAUCAAAGUUCAUGUAUACAAUUGCACAUUAAACCAUAAUUCAUGUACAGUUUUAGUAUUUAUCCCAUAAUUUAUUAAAUAAACUUUUUACCUAUAUCAUAUAUAGAGUUGUCUGUGAACCGAGCCAAGGAAUGCCCGCUCGAAAAAAUGAGGGUUUAAGAAAAAAAAUAUGCCCAAAAAAAGGGCUUGGAUAAAAAGACAAGGCCCGUUUAGAAAAUGAAUCGGGCCUUUGCUAAGGUUUUUUUUGUCCAAGCUCAGCCCGACCCAAAUUUUCAAUAAAAAAACCCUACUGUUUUUACCGCUAUUUUUUCAUAUUUUGGUGUUGUUUUCUCACUUUUUGCCACUGGUUUACUAUCAUUUCACUAUUAUGUUACUACUAUUUUUUUUGUUAAUGUUUGGAUAUUGUAUAACACUUGUUUUAUUGUUAAUUUUGUCACUAUUUUAGAGGCAUUUGUUUGUUAUGUUGUACUUAUCUUAGUUUUUAUUUAAGUAUAAAAAAUUUUUAAAUUCUAUUUUCAAUUUAUUGGAAACAUGUAAUUUAAUAUUUGUAGUAUAUUUGGUGUAUUAUAAUAAUAUUUAUUAUUAAAAUAUUAAUAUUGAAUAUUUUCAAUAAUAUGUGAAGAAUAUUAUUUAAAAUUAUUUUUUAAAAUUUAUUAUUAAAUUAAAAUUGAAAUAUUAAAUAAUUUAUUAAAAUAAUUAAUUAUAUUAAUAAUUAAUUAUAUGACUAAAUAUAAAUAAUUAAAUAUGUAUGUUUAAUAAUAUUGAAAAAUAUAAUAUUUUAUAUUAAUAUUUUAAAUAUUUUUAAAAAUAAAAAUAAAAGUUAUUUUUAAUAUAAUAAUAUUAAGCUUGAUUUAAAUUAAUUUUUAUAUAAAAAUAAAAUUACCUAUAGAUGAGCUCAUUUUUUAGAAAAUGACUUACACUUUUCAAAAUGAUAAGUCAUUUUAUAGGAAAAAGAGCUAAUUUUACGUUGACCUAUAAGUCAUUUUCCGUUGACCAAACUGUUUUCUGUAAAACAAACAUAGAAAAAUGCAGAAAAUAGUUUCCGUAAAACUUUUUACAUGUAAACAAAUGGACCCUUAAUUCAAGCUUAUUCCAACAUAACCCACUUCACUAUUAGCAUGACUCUCCCUUAUACUAAAUUUAACCAUUAACCCUUCUCAUGAUUUCUAACAAAAAUUUUCAAGUUCUCUUUAAUGGCAACUUGUAUUAACUUCAACAAUAAGAAAUUCUAACUAUGGGGUUGGUUGUAUCAAGUUUCAUAGUUUAAAAAUCUAUAAAAAAAUUAUUGAGAAAAUAAUUUGUUUACCUUUGAUGGCCUUGAUGGAGAACAACUUGGUUUCUUCUUCUACUUAGUUUAAAGAAUGCAUGAAGAAGAAGAAGAUUUCCCCUCUCCCACUAUUUUAAAUAUAUAUAUAAAUAACCUAUUAAUCAAGGUAAUUAAGUCACUAAUUAACCUUAAUUAGUUAUGAUCUAAUGGCCAUAAACUUAUCAUGAGAAAAUUAGUGGAAAUGUGCGGCAUUGAUAAUGGUUUGCCAAUAAUCAAACUUUGGGCAUGGUAAUAUUGCAAUCAGGUUUUUGGUAUAAUUACACUUUUAAGUACUUGCUAAAUUCUGUAAUCAAUUCCCACUAGUUGGGUCACUUGAACAAUUGGGUCCAUGUACUAUAGUUACAACUUAUCCAAUUUAAUCAAUUAAUGAUUUGACUUUAUAAUUUCAUGUACAACACACAAACUCCUCUAGUAAAUUCUCGAGCUAGCUUUAUUUAAAAAUUUGGCCUCAAAAAUAGCUUUCCAAAUGUUCAUGAAAAUUGAGUCGUUACAUAUGGUAUUUGUUUUGUUCAGCUUAUUUGUCAGGCUCUAUAUCCUUUGAACUUAUGUUCGUUGACUUUGGUGUUGCUUAAAUGAAAAUGUGGUGAACAAUCUUAUGGAUAGGAGGAGUGUAUGAUUGAGUAUGUGUAACACCCUUAACCCACAUCCUUCGCCGAAUUAGAGUGACAGAGUGUUACUUGUAACACCCCAAACCCAGCCUAAACGUUAUGGUCGUAUCUGGCAAUGUCACACAAUAGUGUUUUUGAAACCUCGUUGUUACGUUGAAAACAUUUCAUGUUAUUAUCUUUAGUAAACAUUUGUUAGAACUUAGGAAGUCGUCUUUAUUCAUUUAAAACAUUUGUUUUGAAACAUCCCUCGUUGCGGAAGCUUUAAUAAAACAGUCUAAGUGAUCAUGCGUUUAGAAACUAUUUUAAUUUUUUGAAAACUGAAUUUCCUACGACCAACAGGUAUAAAUCCAUAAAGUAAAAUAAAUAAAUAAAAACCCAAAAUUUAAAACCAAAGUCCCAGAAGGUCCUUAAAUUACAACCCAAAUAAUCAAUAAUAAUUAAAUCAUAAAACGUAAAUUGAAAACCAUGAAGUCCAAAAAUUACUGUGGUCACCGCUGAGUCCUCCGUCGCACCGAUUCGUCUAAGUCUGGGGAUUACCUGUGCACGUUAAACAAAAAGGGUGAGUUUACGUAAAUUCAGUGUGUAGUCCCGCAGAAACAAAUAAACAAUCAGUAUUCACAGUGCACAGUUGAACAGUCUUGGGCCCAAGCCCAUCUCAGUACAAUGUCAAAAAUGCAGUAGCAGAAUCCUACCCAACCAACCUCCACACACUAUCUCCGCCCAACCCUACACUCCAUGUGGGGAUAUAAUCAACCCACCCAUCCCUACACUCCAAGUAGUACCGAAUGCGGCACAAAACAGUAGUUUGCAGCUGAGCUGCCAGUAAAUUAGGCUUAAAGCCUUUCAGUACACUUCCUCUGAAUAACAACCCCCAACCCGAUGCAAUGCAACAUACAAUAGAUGAUAUGCUAUUAUGCAAUUUCUGUACAUAUAUUUGGUUCAGAUAUUAACAUGCCCAGUAUAGAUAUCAUUCAGUCAAUUUCACACAUUUAGGGGUCUAAGUAGCGCUUACCGACCUUACAGUAGGUUCACAGUUGACUUGGGUGACCCGUACAACCUUAGAAACAUUCCGGUAAAAUUGGGCUACAUGCCCGUGUGUGCCCGUGUGGCCCACUCGGCCCAAUUUGGCCUUGGUCGUGUGAUCCAUUUUUAAUGUAACCCAUGCUAGCUAAAUAUUCAUAUAUGUUUUCACUAUUUACUUAUAUGUUCAUUUAAAGUUGUCUACUUGAGUCAUUGUCACUAAAUUAUUUAUACCUUGAGCUACAGAAUUCCAAAUUAAGAUCCGCUUGAUGUUUUCAAAACUAUACUCAAAUACCUUUCUACCAUAAAAUUUUCAAAUUUUAUAGUUUACCAAAUAAGUACAGUAAAAUCUUCAAAUUUAUCCCAAUUCUGCUAUUUGAUAGCUUCAACGUUUCCUUACUAAAAAUUAUUUAUCUCUUAGUACGGAAUUCGGAUGAUGUUUCCUUUGUUUCUCUUGAAAAUAGACUCGUUAAGGAUUUAAACAUAUAAAUUUAAGCCCCUAAUUAUUUUUUAAAAUUUUCGAUGAUUUUUCCAAAAUCAGAACAAGGAACCAAAACCCAUUCUAACAUUGUCUCACAAAAUUCAUUAUAUCUCAUAACUUAAAAUUUCAUUGCUUACACAGUUUCCUUCAUGAAAAACUAGACUCAAUAAAAUUUAAUAUCAUAUUUUAUUCAACCUCUAACUCAAUUUCCCCUAUUUUUGAUGAUUUUUCAAAGUUAGACUACUACUGCUGUCCAAAACUAUUUUAAUGCAGAAUGUUGAUUUCCAAGUUUAAAACACCCUUAUUUCCUUUCUCUACAAUUUUUUGCAUCAUUUUCUCUUAUUUCUCGUAUUUCUCGAUAGCAAGCAAUUUCAGCUUUUCGUUGAAUCCCAUUUUCUGCAUUUUGGGUACACACCUGGUAUCGUUUCUGAUGCGUAAGCACUCUUAAGCCUCCAGAACCUAAAAAUCGACCAAUAAAUCUCCAAAUUAAUCACUUAAUUCAUUUUUAAUCAACCAAUUUUGGAAGGAACUCGACUAAAAAAACCUAACAAAACCCUUACCUUGCUUCAGUAACCACGACUUCGCACAAUCAUAGUGUCGAUUCAAAACCACCAACCCCUUGAUUAACUCAUAAACACCAAAAAAGAAACCCCUUUUCAGAGAUUAACCAAGAACGAUUAACAAUAGAAAAAACUGUUACUUACCGAACACACGCAACCAACGAUGAACAACCAAAUCAAUUGGAAAAUAAUGAAAGAAAAGGAAGAGAAAAAAAUAAUGGAAAUUUCGGCAGCAACUAGGGGAAAGAAUCGGUAGAGGAGAGAAAAAAGAAGAAAAAAUCAGAAAAAGUUUGGGUAAUUGGAGAGAAAACCAAAACUCUACUUUUUUUUCUACAACAAAAAGAUAAUCAGAUUAUUUUCUGAUAACCUCUCCCCCAUUAUCUCCUAAAAUCACUCCUUAUUAACCCACUAAAACACAACUACUCAGAAUUUUACCCCAACACAACUCUUAGCCAAAAUUGGAGCAAAAAUACUGUCUCUACGCCAUCAUAGAGAAUUGAACAUAAGACCUCCUUCACACCAACACUCCAUUUAUCCACCAGACCAGCAAGCCCAUUCUGUUAAUUAUUUGUCAUCUUUUACUUAAAAGCCUACUGACCAAAGAUAGGGCUUAUUCAUAAAAAUACCAAAAUUUUCCCAAAACCUGGCUUGAACUUGGGACCUCUCACACACCCAAAACACUUAACCACUAAAGCAGAUACACAAUUGUGUCACACCUUCGUAAGAACAAAAAUAAAAAUUUUGGGACGUUACGUUACUAUACAAAAUAGAACAUUUCAUGACAACACAUAAAUAAUUAUGCAAAUUAUCACAAUCAUUAAUUAACCAUAUUAAAAUAUAACAUAAAUAUCCAUACGACCUUUAAAUCGAGCUUAUAUGUCCCUAAAAAUAGCUUGAGAUCAAUCUAGGAUCAAUUUUGAACAAAAACAUAAAUUUUAAAAAAACCCUAAAAAUUUUGGAAAACAUGGGUCACACAGCCGUGUGUCCAGGCCAUGUGACAUAGCCCAGACCUUGUGGGCAUUCAAAAUCAGGUAACGCAGUCAUGUCCCAGCCCGUAUGUCUACUUGUGUGAAUAUUCGAAAUAGGGUCUCACGGUCGUGUCGAGGAUCGUAUGCUAAACCGUGUGUAUAUUCAAAUUAUGGACACACGGCCGUGUCGCAGGCCAUGUGCUAGACCUUGCUCAAAACUAUUUUGAGACACACAGCUGUGUCUUAGACUGUGUGAAAUUUUCACUUUAAACAACAACACACAGCCGUAUCCUAAGCCGUGUGCACCAAAAUGUACCUUAAAAAUCAAAUUUACCAAAACAUGUUUACUUAGGCAUCAAGCAACCUAAUUACCAUCAAUUAAACUCAUUCAAAACACGAUUAAACAUGUUCAAAAUAUCCAUCCUAAGUUCCUAACCAUUGUGCCCUCAUUGACACCAUAAUUCAAUAAUCAAAUCAAUCACAUUUAAACCAAGAUUUAAACAUUCAAAUUAUAAAAUCACCAUUAACCAUUCAUACCAAAACACUACUCAUUUCAAGUCAUAAACACCUAGCAAUAUUCACAUACUUUAUAAAGCUUAACUACCAAUACCAAAUAAGAUCCAUACACACAUACAUACCAAACAAAACACAUAUUCACAAGUAUCAUUCAAGGUUUACAACUUUACAUGUAAUUAACAUGAUUUCAAGUCACUUAUUACAUGUCAUAUAACCCAAAACAAACAUUAAACAAACUACCAAUAGUUUCUCGAAUAGUUGAUUCUUGAUCUUGAUCUAUAAUAUAAUUUAUUUCAAUUAUUAGCCUCAAUUUUCAUAUUCUAAUCAUUUCAAUACAUAUGAUCUCUUGUUUACAAAUUUACAUAAUUACCCUAAAUUUUUACACAUUAUUCAAUUUAAUCCCUAUGACCAAAUCAAGCUUAGUUCUACAAUUAAAUUCUCAAUCCAUAGAACUAAAUUUUAACCACAUCCAAAACAAUUCAUAUAUGCUAAAAUUUUCAAGAGUAACAUGUCUAUUUCAAUUAAAUCACUAAACAUCAAAAUUUGUAAAAAUCACUUUACAAACUCAAUACAUAUCAUCACCAAGCUUCAACCCAAACUAUUUAAUAUUACAAAUCUUCAAAAUUUUCAAUACAUAAUUUCUAUACUUUGAUAACUUCACAAAUAAACUCCAAAACUAGCUAAAUUCCAUUAUCAAUAGCUCAAAACUUAAAUUUUAUGAUAAAUAAACCAAGAAAAUACUUACAUGCAUUAAAAACUAUCAAAAACCAAGCUCCCAAGCCUUAGAACAAAGGUGUUUCGGCCAAACCUAAGAAAAAUAAAGAAGAUGACCACUACCCCACUUUUGUUUUACUUUCUUUUUAUUAUUAUUAUAAUGUUUAUUUAUGAAAUUAUAACAUUAUCAAACACCAAUUUGAUAUUGUUUUUCUCUCUUUACCGCCCAUAUUAACUAACUAUGGGCUAAUGGCAACAUAACCCCCCUUAGUUUACUAAUUUAAGCUGUUAUAUUAAAAUAAAUCAAUAAUAAGCAACUUUUCCACCUAUUACAAAUUAAUCCUUUUUCUUUAAUCAAUUCACUAUACGUUAAAUUUUCUAAACCAAAACUUAAUAUAACACUGAUGACUUUGUAAAUAUUAAAUAAUUAAUAAUUUUAGAUUGACACGUCGAAAUUGUGGUCCUAAAAUCAUUAUUUUCAACACCACUAGAAAUCGGACUGUUAUAGUAUGGUUCUACCUCUUAGGGGGAGAUGUAUUCUAGUUUCCUUUCACUUGUUUAGAUGAUGUGUUAAUCAUUUGCUAUUGGUUUUGUCAAAAUGCCAAAUGGUGAGAUUGUUUGAACUUUGACUUCUUUUCUUAUUUCACUUCAUGUUCGAAGAGUAGAUUAAACCAUGCUUUGAUGCAUUCAAAGAAUUUAUGUUGGUAUAUUUGAUUUUAUAAUGAAAUGGCUUAUAGUUUAAUCUCGUUGAGUAGCAAAUGGGGAAGUGAUUUUGUAUUAUAACAUGUGAUGAUCAUUAUCUUUCAAUCAACUACCUUGGAAAAGAACGAGAGGAGUUUGAACUUUUGGGGACUUUCGUAAUAUUUGAAGCUGCUGAGAUAUUUGUUUAUAAAGACUUUUAUUUAUCAUUAAUCAAAAUAAUUCAUGAGAUAAUUUCAACCUUUAUAUUGGAGUUCUAAACUUAUGAAGACUCUAUUAUUGGCCUAUAAAUAGGCAUAAUUACCGCACAUUGAAAAUAGGCUUUUGGAGGGUUUGGAUACUUUGGUGAAUUUUUCAUUGGGCUAUAAAUAGGCAUAAUUACCGCACAUUGAAAAUAGGCUUUUGGAGGGUUUAAGUUGGAUACUUCAGUAAAUUUUUCUUGUGUUUUAUACCACACUCUUUUUAAGUUUUAUUGGAGAUAUUUAUUUGAUUGUAAGUGAGGUAUUUUGGAGAGAAUGAUUUAUAAUAAUUUAGGUUCAAUAUUAAAGUUGCAAAUAAUUACGGGUAAAAGUAAUUUGGACUGUAGUCAAUAGUUGAUCAAGACGAAUUGUAAAUUAAAAUUAUUUUCUAAGUAAAAUUCUACAAAAUAAAACUGGUAAAUUCAAACUGCGUUAAUAAAUAUUACAUAUUAUCUUUCCUUACUUUACUCGUUGCUUUACCUUAUUUUAAAAUUGUUUUGUUAUAAUCUAUUAUGUUUGAACCUUUUCGAUCGAAAUAAAAAAAAUGAGAUUGAAAUUGUGAUAAAGCUAAAAAAAGGUUACAACAAAUAUGAUUAAUAUUAUUUUUUAUAUAUACUUAAUAAAAGUUAAAAAGGGAAUUCCAUUUAUUGAAUAUUAUUUUAUUUAAUAAAAUAUAUUUUAUAUAUUUUAUAUAAAAUUUAAACAUUUUAUUGUUUGUUAGUUAAAUUUUAUUAUUUUUAUUUUCUUUAUGAAUAAAAAUAAUUUUCCUAAAAUAUGAGAUAAAAAAUGUUAUAGAGAAUUAAAUUAAUAAAAAGUACAGUUCAUACUUUAUAAUUAUUAUAAAUGAAAAAAUAUUAUGAAAAAAUAUUAAACAUAAAAAAUUAAUUCUAAAAUAAACUUAACUAUAAUAAAAUAAUUUUAUAUAAAAAAAGAAAUUAUAGAAAAGACUUAUUGAAUAUAUUUCCAAUUUUCGACAUUCAUAAAACAAAAAAUAAAAAAAGUGGUUCUAAUAAUUUAUUUAUACAAAAAAAAAAAAGUGGUCCUGACGUUCAUCCUUUCCCAUCUCUAUAAAUUUGCAUGCAGAACUAAAGCAACACAUAUCAACACAAUCUGUAUAACCAUGAAAACCACAACAGCUUCGGUGUUUCUUCUUUUCAUCAUCUUCUCAAUCACACCAUCGUCCUUUUCGUUUGGUGUGGCCAACUCUACAAACGCUCCUGUGCUCGACAGUGAUGGCAACGAGCUCCGCACGGGCACCCCAUACUUCGUUGUGUCGUCGAUAUGGGGUGCUGGUGGUGGGGGGCUUGCCCUAGGCAUGCCUAGCGGAAACCCAUGCCCGGAAGUCGUUGCUCAAAGAGGAUCCGGUGACGAUGGUAUUCCGGUGAUAUUUUCUAAUUCGGACUCCAACGAUGGCGUUGUUCGCCUAUCCUCUGACAUAAACAUAGAGUUCAUUCCCCUCAGACCCAAACUUUGCCGAACAACAACGGUGUGGAAGGUCGAUGAUUACGACCACUCAGCCGGAAAAUGGUGGGUGAUAACCGAUGGGGUUAAAGGGAACCCGGGUGCCAACACUUUGACCAGUUGGUUUAGAAUAGAGAAGUUGGGUGAUCUUGAUUACACAUUUAAGUACUGCCCCGCAGUAUGUGGAACAUGCCCAGCUUUAUGCAACGAAAUUGUGAGAGACUCAGAUGGAGAAAUGAUACGUUUGGCUCUCUCCAAUGGCCAUGGAUGGCAAUUUUACUUUAAGAAAGUUGAAACAUCAGCCAUGGAGAUUCAACAAGUUCAUAAUUAGAUUGAAAGCAAUCAUUAUGCAUGAACUAGUAGUUACUAUACAUUAUUACCUUCAAGUAAAUAAUGCCGAGAGAACUGAUUGUUAAUUAAGAUUGCCUUGUUUGAAGCAGCAGCAUGAAUAUAUAUAUAUGCUUGCUUACAAGGUUUGUCUCUCAGAGUCCUUCUCUUUGUACUCUUUCCAGCUUAAUGUAUAAACUGUCUACUUAUUUACUUCUUUUAUCGCCAUUGAUUCUAGUAGUAUUAGACUCAUUAACUUGGAUACAUUGUCUUGUAAUUAACCCAAAAAUUAUAUAUAUAUAAAAAAAGAGUGAGAGAGGAAAAUAGACUACCAAGUAACAAGCGAAAAACGGUAAUACUAGGGUUAUUUAGAGUGGUUUCAAUGCACAACGGGAAUGAAUUGUCGUUGGUUGGGUGGUUAGGGCACCUUACUUAUCUUUAGAGCUAAAGAAGGUUUCGUAACUACUCUUUCAAUAAUAUUAUUUUUAAGGUUCGAACCUGCAUUAUCCUUUGAACACGUAAUAUGUUUUAUCAUUACGCUCAACAUUAUUAAUGAUUUACUUUAUUCUAUUCUUAAUUAAUAAUUAUGAUAUAUAUUAAGUUUAAGAUGAAUUUUCUUAUUCAUGUAUAUCAAUUAAAUCAAAUAUUUGUAUUUAAAGUUUUAACCCAACAUUAACUUCUUCUUUUUUUUAUUUCUUUCUUUGUUGGUGAUGAUUAGGAGAUUGAUGGCCGGUCUUUGUGGUUGGUAGCUUUUAACACAAUGGCAAAGCCAAGGAGGCUUUAAAUGUUUAAAUGGAUUUUUUUUUCAUUUAAACUUCUUUAUAAUUUAUAAAAUUUUAAAUUAAUAAUGAUAAAAUUACAUUUUAAUCUUUUAAAAAUAAUAAAAAUGUGGAAGCACAUUUGUACGAUUAAUAAUAAUGAUAAGAUUUUUCCCACCACAUGGAAAUUUAUGGAAACGUCAUUGGGUUUUGUAUUUAUGUUUUAUUUGACACUCUUUUAAGUUUUAUUGGGAAGAUUUGCUUGAUUGUAAGUGAGGUAUUUUGGAGAGAAUGAUUUGUAACAAUUUAGAUUCAAUAUUCGAGUUGCAAAUAAAUAUAGAGUAAAGUAAUUUGGGCUUAGUGAAUUAUAGAAUAAAAUCAUAUUCUAAACAAAAUUUUAUAAAAUAAAAUUAAUGAAUCCUAACUAAGUUAACAAAUAUUUCUUCACUCUAGGCAUUGCUUCACCUUAUCUCAAAAUUGUUCUGUAAUAAUCUAUUUUGUCUCGACCUUUCCAACAGAAUUUAAAAUGAAACUAUUUCUGAUAAGUGCAGGCCAAAAACUUUUUCGCGUACCAAUAAAUGGCAAGCGACCAUACUGUGGGCCCAAUGUCCCAACAAUCAUCUAAACAUUUUUUUUAAUAAUAUGUAAUAAUUUAUAUACCAUAUAUGAAUAUUAAUUAAAAUAAUAUAAUAUGGACCCAAAUUGUUUCAUAUUUGAAAUCCAAUUUUUGAUAAUUUCACAUUUCAUAUUUUAUCUUAGAACAAAAAAAAUAUAUUUGAACUUAAUAUUUGGCCUAUUAAUCAAUGGUGUUUACUAUAUUUUAAGACUAUCGAAUUAAUCUAUCGACACUACUUGUAUGGUAUAAUUUAAAUGGGUGUGUGUGGGUAUAUAAAUUUGAAAUUCUAUUGUAUCAAAGAAAAAUUUAGAAAAAAAUAAAAAAAAAAAAGAAUUUGCAAUUUAUAAUUUGAGAUAAAAAUAAAAAAAUGAGAUUUGUGAUAAACCAUAAAUUAAGCUCAAAAAAAGUUACAACAAAUAUGGUUAAUGUUAUUUAUAUAUAUACUUAAUAAAAGUAAAAAUAUCGAAAUUCCAAUAUUAUUUUUAUUUAAUAAAAUAUAAUUAAUAUAUUUUAUAUAAAAUUUAAAUAUUUUAUUGAAAUAUUAUGUUAGGUAAAUUUAUAAAUAAAAUUAAUUUUACUAAAAUUUGAGAUAAGAGAAUUAAAUUAAUAAAAGGCAUAUUUCAUAUUUUAUAGUUAUUAUUAAUAAAAAAUUAUUAUAAAAAUAAAAAAUCAAUUCUACAACAUAAUGAAAUAUUUUUAUUAAAAAAACCAGAAAUGAUUGAUGGAAUAUAUUUCCAAUUUUCGACGUUCAUAAAAAAAAAAAGAGUGGUCCUAAUAAUUUAUUUAUUGGGAAAAAAAAAGUGGUCCUAUUAAUUUACCUCACAUUUGAAAUGUGUUAUAUGUAAUAAUAAUAAUAUCUAUAUAAAUUUUGGACGUUGAUCCUUUCCCAUCUCUAUAAAUUCGCAUGGAGAACUAAAGCAACACAUAUCAACACAAUUUAUAUAACCAUGAAAACCACAACAGCUUCGGUGUUUCUUCUUUUCAUCAUCUUCUCAGUCGCACUAUCGUCCUUUUUGUUUGGUGUAGCCAACGCUACAAACGACCCUGUGCUCGACAUUGAUGGCAACGAGGUUCAAACUGGCACCCCAUACUACGUUGUGUCGUCGAUAUGGGGUGCUGGUGGUGGGGGGCUUGCCCUAGGUAGGCCUAGAGGAAAGCCAUGCCCGGAAGUCGUUACUCAAAGACGAUCCGGUGACGAUGGUAUUCCGGUGAUAUUUUCUAAUUCGGACUCCAACGAUGGCAUUGUUCGCCUAUCCUCUGACAUAAACAUAGAGUUCAUUCCCCUCAGACCCAAACUUUGCCGAACAACAACGGUGUGGAAGGUCGAUGAUUACGACCAUUCAGCCGGAAAAUGGUGGGUGAUAACCGAUGGAGUUAAAGGGAACCCGGGUGCCAACACUUUGACCAGUUGGUUUAGAAUAGAGAAGGUGGGUGAUUUAAGUUACAAAUUUAAGUACUGCCCCACAGUAUGUGGAACAUGCCCAGCUUUAUGCAACGAAGUUGGGAAAGACUCAGAUGGAGAAAUGGUACGUUUUGCUCUCUCCACUGGCCCUGGAUGGUCAUUUUACUUUAAGAAAGUUGAAAAAUCAGCCAUGGAGAUUGAACAAGUUGUUCAUAUUUAGAUUGAAAGCAAUCAUUCUGCAUGAACUAGUAGUUAUUAUAUAAUAUUAGCUUCAAGUAAAUAAUGCUGAGAGAACUGAUUGUUAAGAUUGCCUUGUUUGAAGCAGCAGCAUGUAUAUAUAUAUAUGCUUGCUUACAAGGUUUGUCUCUCAGAGUCCUUCUCUUUGUACUCUUUUCAGCUUAAU